rnacentral:rRNA from 1 species
UACGUAGGGCGCAAGCGUUGUCCGGAAUUAUUGGGCGUAAAGAGCUCGUAGGCGGCUUGUCACGUCGAUUGUGAAAGCCCGGGGCUUAACUCCGGGUCUGCAGUCGAUACGGGCUAGCUAGAGUGUGGUAGGGGAGAUCGGAAUUCCUGGUGUAGCGGUGAAAUGCGCAGAUAUCAGGAGGAACACCGGUGGCGAAGGCGGAUCUCUGGGCCUUACCUGACGCUGAGGAGCGAAAGCGUGGGGAGCGAACAGG